UGUGUGAAUUAGACCUUUCUUAGUAUCAUGCAACCAAAAUGAUGGAAACACGCUGGUUAUGGAGUGCCUGGUUUUGGAAGCAGCGCUGGGUGUCCCAGGUGUAAAGGAAUAGAGCAUCAUGAAAGUGCUUACCAGGAGUGCAGAGAUAACCGGGUUACCUGGCACAGAGGUAACUGGGUUUCCCCAGGACCAGGUGCCAGGUGGCUGCAGGCAGUGAGGAAGCACAGACAGACCAGCAGAGUGGCCAGGAGCAGACGGGUGAUGUCCAUCCUAGGAGGCAUGAGUGGGACAGGGAAGUUCAGUGCCCACAGCUCUGAAGUUAGAAGUAGCCACUGUCAAGAAGAAUCCGUCUCUGCUGCCAUGGCUGACUUUACUCAGGUUUUUCUUCCCGGAAGCAGGGACUCAGGUGUGAGGUGAAGCGGAUGUCAAGUGCUGCUGCAGCUUGGGAAGGUCUGAUAUUCCACUUUCUAGUCCCACAGCAGGAAUUAACCCCAGAAAAGCCAGAGCUGCUGGAGAGGAGUUUUUAUGAGUUAUCUAAGGAUAUUAUUGUUAUCUAUAUAGCACAAUAAAGUUGCCAAACCAUCCAGGC